rnacentral:rRNA from 1 species
CCUACGGGAGGCAGCAGUGAGGAAUAUUGGGCAAUGGACGAGAGUCUGAACCAGCAAAGCCGCGUGAAGGAUGAAUGCUCUCGGGGUGGUAAACUCCGUUGAUAGGGGAAAAAAAUGUCCCACGUGUGGGAUUUUGUACGUACCAUAUGAAUAAGGAUCGGCUAAGUUAGUGCCGUGAGACGAGGCAAUACGGAGGAUACGUGCGUUGUCCGGAUUGAUUGGGUGUAAAGGGAGCGUAGGGGGAUUGGUAAGUCAGAUGUGAAAGUCUGCGGCUCAACCGUAGAAGUGCAGUUGAAACUGGCAGUCUUGAGUACAGUAGAGGUGAGCGGAAUUCGUGGUGUAGCGGUGAAAUGCGUAGAUAUCAGGAGGAACUCCGGUUGCGAAGGCAGUUCACUGGACUGCAACUGACGCUGAGGCUCGAAAGUGUGGGUAUCAAACAGGAUUAGAUACCCUAGUAGUC